rnacentral:misc_RNA from 1 species
CCACUUCAAGGUGGAGCAGGAAUCCGGUUCAUCAACAUUUGCAUUCUUCGGUUUUAAUGGGACUGCUGGUGUAUGGAGAAUCCAAGCUAUCAACGAAUCAGGAGGUUGGAAGGAUCGAACAACUGUAGAAGAUAUGGAUUUAGCAGUGAGAGCUGGGCUUCAAGGCUGGAAGUUUGUAUACCUGGGUGAUGUCAAUGUUAAUAGUGAACUCCCAAGCACUUUCAAAGCUUAUCGAUAUCAGCAACAUCGUUGGUCUUGUGGGCCAGCAAAUUUGUUUAGGAAAAUGUUUUGGGACAUCAUAGAAACGAAGAAAGUUUCUCUAUGGAAGAAAUUCUUUGUGAUCUACAACUUCUUUCUUGCUCGAAGGAUUACAUCCCAUUUUGUCACUUUCCUUUUCUAUUGCAUUGUCAUUCCCAUCUCAGUUUUCUUCCCUGAAGUAGAAAUUCCGAAAUGGGGGGUUGUUUACAUUCCAACAGUAAUCACUCUUCUCAAUUUAGUAGGAACUCCAAGCUCGAUUCAUUUAAUUGUCUUUUGGGUCUUCUUCGAGAAUGUCAUGUCCUUGCACCGAUGCAAAGCGGUGGCUAUUGGUUUAUUAGAAGCAGGAAGAGCCAAUGAGU